UACGUAGGAUGCAAGCGUUGUCCGGAAUUAUUGGGCGUAAAGCGAACGUAGGCGGUUUCUUAAGAUUGGUCUUAAAGACCGGGGCUCAACCCCGGGAAUGGAUCGAUAACUGGGAGACUGGAGGACGUCAGAGGAAAGUGGAAUUCCGAGUGUAGCGGUGAAAUGCGUAGAUAUUCGGAGGAACACCAGUGGCGAAAGCGACUUUCUGGGACGUUCCUGACGCUGAGGUUCGAAAGCUCGGGGAGCAAACAGG
rnacentral:rRNA from 1 species